UACGAAGGGGGCUAGCGUUGUUCGGAUUUACUGGGCGUAAAGCGCACGUAGGCGGAUUGUUAAGUCAGGGGUGAAAUCCUGGAGCUCAACUCCAGAACUGCCUUUGAUACUGGCAAUCUCGAGUCCGGAAGAGGUAAGUGGAACUCCUAGUGUAGAGGUGGAAUUCGUAGAUAUUAGGAAGAACACCAGUGGCGAAGGCGGCUUACUGGUCCGGAACUGACGCUCAUGCACGAAAGCGUGGGGAGCAAACAGG
rnacentral:rRNA from 1 species